UGCAGUCGACGAUGAGCCUUUCGGGGUGGAUUAGUGGCGAACGGGUGAGUAACACGUGGGCAAUCUGCCCUUCACUCUGGGACAAGCCCUGGAAACGGGGUCUAAUACCGGAUAACACCUUCCACCGCAUGGUGGGGGGUUGAAAGCUCCGGCGGUGAAGGAUGAGCCCGCGGCCUAUCAGCUUGUUGGUGGGGUGAUGGCCUACCAAGGCGACGACGGGUAGCCGGCCUGAGAGGGCGACCGGCCACACUGGGACUGAGACACGGCCCAGACUCCUACGGGAGGCAGCAGUGGGGAAUAUUGCACAAUGGGCGAAAGCCUGAUGCAGCGACGCCGCGUGAGGGAUGACGGCCUUCGGGUUGUAAACCUCUUUCAGCAGGGAAGAAGCGAAAGUGACGGUACCUGCAGAAGAAGCGCCGGCUAACUACGUGCCAGCAGCCGCGGUAAUACGUAGGGCGCAAGCGUUGUCCGGAAUUAUUGGGCGUAAAGAGCUCGUAGGCGGCUUGUCGCGUCGGAUGUGAAAGCCCGGGGCUUAACCCCGGGUCUGCAUUCGAUACGGGCAGGCUAGAGUGUGGUAGGGGAGAUCGGAAUUCCUGGUGUAGCGGUGAAAUGCGCAGAUAUCAGGAGGAACACCGGUGGCGAAGGCGGAUCUCUGGGCCAUUACUGACGCUGAGGAGCGAAAGCGUGGGGAGCGAACAGGAUUAGAUACCCUGGUAGUCCACGCCGUAAACGUUGGGAACUAGGUGUUGGCGACAUUCCACGUCGUCGGUGCCGCAGCUAACGCAUUAAGUUCCCCGCCUGGGGAGUACGGCCGCAAGGCUAAAACUCAAAGGAUUUGACGGGGCCCGCACAAGCAGCGGAGCAUGUGGCUUAAUUCGACGCAACGCGAAGAACCUUACCAAGGCUUGACAUAUACCGGAAACAUCCAGA
rnacentral:rRNA from 1 species